GGAGAGGUGGCUGAGCGGUCGAAAGCGACAGUCUUGAAAACUGUUAGACCUUCACGGGUCUCGAGGGUUCGAAUCCCUCCCUCUCCG
rnacentral:tRNA from 1 species